rnacentral:rRNA from 1 species
AGUGGGUGUAAUGUACCUACUAGCCGACGACGGAUACGGGUUGUGGGAGCAAGAGCCCGGAGAUGGAUUCUGAGACAUGAAUCCAGGCCCUACGGGGCGCAGCAGGCGCGAAAACUUUACAAUGCGGGAAACCGCGAUAAGGGGACACCGAGUGCCAGCAUCUUAUGUUGGCUGUCCGCGUGUAUAAAUCACAUGUGUUAGCAAGGGCCGGGCAAGACCGGUGCCAGCCGCCGCGGUAACACCGGCGGCCCGAGUGGUGGCCACUAUUAUUGGGUCUAAAGGGUCCGUAGCCGGUUUGGUCAGUCUUCCGGGAAAUCUGACGGCUUAACCGUUAGGCUUUCGGGGGAUACUACCAGGCUUGGGACCGGGAGAGGUAAGAGGUACUACGGGGGUAGGAGUGAAAUCUUGUAAUCCUCGUGGGACCACCAGUGGCGAAGGCGUCUUACCAGAACGGGUCCGACGGUGAGGGACGAAAGCUGGGGGCACGAACCGGAUUAGAU